rnacentral:rRNA from 1 species
CUUUGCUCUGAUGAGAGUGGCGAACGGGUGAGUAACGCGUGGGUUAUCUGCCUUCAGGAUGGGGAUAGCCACUAGAAAUAGUGGGUAAUACCGAAUAUUUUUGCCUGGCUGACGCCGGGUAAAGAAAGGCGCAAUUGUGCCGCCUGAAGAUGAGCCUGCGUCCUAUUAGCUGGUUGGUGGGGUAAAGGCCUACCAAGGCGACGAUAGGUAGCCGGCCUGAGAGGGUGUCCGGCCACAUUGGGACUGAGAUACGGCCCAGACUCCUACGGGAGGCAGCAGCUAAGAAUCUUCCGCAAUGGGCGAAAGCCUGACGGAGCGACGUUGCGUGGACGACGAAGGUCGAGAGAUUGUAAAGUCCUUUUCUGUGAGAGGAAUAAGGCGGGGAGUGGAACGCCCUGCUGAUGACGUUAACACAGGAAUAAGCUCCGGCAAAUUACGUGCCAGCAGCCGCGGUAAUACGUAAGGAGCGAGCGUUGUUCGGAUUUAUUGGGCGUAAAGGGCGCGCAGGCGGUUUUACAAGUCUGUAAUCAAAUCCCCGGGCUUAACUCGGGACCGGUUAUGGAAACUGUAAAACUAGAAUCCUUUAGGGGAAGCUGGAAUUCCUGGUGUAGGGGUGGAAUCUGUUGAUAUCAGGAAGAACACCAAAGGCGAAGGCAGGCUUCUGGGGAGUGAUUGACGCUGAGGCGCGAAAGUGUAGGGAGCAAACAGGCUUAGAUACCCUGGUAGUCUACACCGUAAACGAUGUACACUAGGCGUUGGUCUGUUCUAGGAUCAGCGCUCAAGCUAACGCGAUAAGUGUACCGCCUGGGGAGUAUGCCGGCAACGGUGAAACUCAAAGGAAUUGACGGGGGCCCGCACAAGCGGUGGAGCAUGUUGUUUAAUUCGAUGAUACGCGAGGAACCUUACCCAGGUUUGACAUAUAAGUGGAACUCGCUAGAGAUAGUGAGGCCUCUUCGGAGGCCGCUAUACAGGUGCUGCAUGGCUGUCGUCAGCUCGUGCCGUGAGGUGUUGGGUUAAGUCCCCGCCACGAGCGCAACCCCUGUGUUCAGUUACUACCAUUCAGUUGAGGACUCUGGACAGACUGCCGGCGUUAAGCCGGAGGAAGGUGGGGAUGAUGUCAAGUCAGCAUGGCCUUUAUAUCUGGGGCUACAAACGUGCUACAAUGGUCGGUACAAAGUGAUGCCAAGCCGCAAGGUGGAGCAAACCGCAAAAAACCGGCCUCAGUUCGGAUUGCAGUCUGAAACUCGACUGCAUGAAGUUGGAAUCGCUAGUAAUCGCAUAUCAGAAUGAUGCGGUGAAUACGUUCCCGGGCCUUGUACACACUGCCCGUCACACCACCCGAGUUGGAUUUUCCCGAAGUCGACUAGAUUAACCUGCAAAGGA